rnacentral:tRNA from 1 species
GGGCGGGUGGCGAAACUGGUAGACGCAGCAGACUCAAAAUCUGCCUCCGAAAGGAGUGAGAGUUCGAUUCUCUCUCCGCCCA